GGAAGUAAAAAGUCGUAACAAGGUUUCCGUAGGUGAACCUGCGGAAGGAUCAUUACCGAGUGUCGGGCCCUCUGGGUCCAACCUCCCACCCGUGUUUAUUGUACCCUGUUGCUUCGGCGGGCCCGCUGGUCCGCCAGCCGCCGGGGGGGCAUCUGCCCCCCGGGUCCGCGCCCGCCGAAGACACCCUGAACUCUAUGUGAAGUAUGCAGUCUGAGCGAUUAUACCAAUCGUUAAAACUUUCAACAACGGAUCUCUUGGUUCCGGCAUCGAUGAAGAACGCAGCGAAAUGCGAUAAGUAAUGUGAAUUGCAGAAUUCAGUGAAUCAUCGAGUCUUUGAACGCACAUUGCGCCCCCUGGCAUUCCGGGGGGCAUGCCUGUCCGAGCGUCAUUACUGCCCUCAAGCCCGGCUUGUGUGUUGGGCCUCCGUCCCCUGGGACGGGGCCCGAAAGGCAGUGGCGGCGUCGUCCGAUCCUCGAGCGUAUGGGGCUUUGUCACCCGCUCUUGCAGGACCGGCCGACGUCCAGUCGACCUCCAAUCUUUCUCCAGAUUGACCUCGGAUCA
rnacentral:misc_RNA from 1 species